rnacentral:ncRNA from 1 species
UCGAGCCGGAUGAUGAAAAAUUAUCAUGUCCGGUUCCUCCGAGGGAUGGAUCUAUAAGAAUUCACCUAUCCCAAU